CAGUCGCCGCGGUAAAACGGAGGGUGCAAGCGUUAAUCGGAAUUACUGGGCGUAAAGCGCACGCAGGCGGUCUGACAAGUCAGAUGUGAAAUCCCCGGGCUUAACCUGGGAACUGCAUUUGAAACUGUCAGGCUGGAGUCUUGUAGAGGGGGGUGGAAUUCCAGGUGUAGCGGUGAAAUGCGUAGAGAUCUGGAGGAAUACCGGUGGCGAAGGCGGCCCCCUGGACAAAGACUGACGCUCAGGUGCGAAAGCGUGGGGAGCAAACAGGAUUAGAUACCCCGGUAGUCCCUGUCUCUUAUAA
rnacentral:rRNA from 1 species